GAACGCGAAGAACCUUACCAGGUCUUGACAUCCCUCUGACCUCUCUAGAGAUAGAGAUUUCCUUCGGGACAGAGGUGACAGGUGGUGCAUGGUUGUCGUCAGCUCGUGUCGUGAGAUGUUGGGUUAAGUCCCGCAACGAGCGCAACCCCUAUUGUUAGUUGCCAUCAUUCAGUUGGGCACUCUAGCGAGACUGCCGGUAAUAAACCGGAGGAAGGUGGGGAUGACGUCAAAUCAUCAUGCCCCUUAUGACCUGGGCUACACACGUGCUACAAUGGCUGGUACAACGAGUCGCAAGUCGGUGACGACAAGCUAAUCUCUUAAAGCCAGUCUCAGUUCGGAUUGUAGGCUGCAACUCGCCUACAUGAAGUCGGAAUCGCUAGUAAUCGCGGAUCAGCACGUCGCGGUGAAUACGUUCCCGGGUCUUGUACACACC
rnacentral:rRNA from 1 species